rnacentral:rRNA from 1 species
GGAGAAAAAUGUUAGUACACACGGGAUCCCUUACCAGUGAGGAGACUGUUGAUCGCGCAAUUGAGCGGCGGACGGGUGAGUAACACGUAAAGAACCUGCCCUCAGGUCUGGGAUAACCACGAGAAAUCGGGGCUAAUACCGGAUGGGUCAUCGGACCGCAUGGUCCGAGGAUGAAAGGCGCUUCGGCGUCGCCUGGGGAUGGCUUUGCGGUGCAUUAGCUAGUUGGUGGGGUAAUGGCCCACCAAGGCGACGAUGCAUAGCCGACCUGAGAGGGUGAUCGGCCACACUGGGACUGAGACACGGCCCAGACUCCUACGGGAGGCAGCAGUAGGGAAUCUUCCACAAUGGACGAAAGUCUGAUGGAGCAACGCCGCGUGAACGAUGAAGGCCUUCGGGUCGUAAAGUUCUGUUGUAAGGGAAGAACAAGUGCCGCAGGCAAUGGCGGCACCUUGACGGUACCUUGCGAGAAAGCCACGGCUAACUACGUGCCAGCAGCCGCGGUAAUACGUAGGUGGCAAGCGUUGUCCGGAAUUAUUGGGCGUAAAGCGCGCGCAGGCGGCCUCUUAAGUCUGAUGUGAAAGCCCCCGGCUCAACCGGGGAGGGCCAUUGGAAACUGGGAGGCUUGAGUAUAGGACAGAAGAGUGGAAUUCCACGUGUAGCGGUGAAAUGCGUAGAGAUGUGGAGGAACACCAGUGGCGAAGGCUACUCUUUGGCCCUAUAACUGACGCUGAGGCGCGAAAGCGUGGGGAGCAAACUAUGAUUAGAUACCCCUGGUAGUCCACGCCGUAAACGAUGAGUGCUAGGUGUUGGAGGGUUUCCGCCCUUCACUGCUUGAAGCUAACGCAUUACGCACUCCGCCUGGGGGAGUACGGUCCCAAGGCUGAAACUCAAGAGUGGACGGGGAACCCGCACAAGUCGUGGGAACCAUGUUGUUUAAUUCCUAGUCACCGCGAAGAACCUUACCAACUUCUUGGACCUUCCCCCUUGACCCGAGUACAGAAGAAUGUUACCUUCCCCUUCGGGGGCAGGGGUUGACUGGUGGGUGCCAUUGAUAUCAUUCCAUCCUCCGGAUG